rnacentral:lncRNA from 1 species
UUCUAGAUCAGAUUGCAGAUAUUUUAAGCUAAAUGUCAGAUUCUAAAGGUGAUCCUCAUGUUUAACAGAUUCAGUGAGGUUCAGAUAAUUUAAACCAAAAAGUUCUAAUUAGAUUCAUGUGUCCUCUACACAUUUUUUACUGGGUUUCUGGAAUAGCGCUGGAUUGAACCCCAGAUGGUAUCAGUGGUCCCUGUUUGCCUGUAGGACCUAGAUUUCCCCCUGGGGUUUGUAAAAAGAUCUAAUUAUAUUUCAGGUCACAUUUACCAUCACACGCAGUGCUUCCUCCUCUGUGUGUGUGUGUGUGUGUGUGUGUGUGUGUGUGUGUUUGUACCGUUUGUGAAUGGAGGCUGGUGAUGCGUUGUGCACUCAUGUUCCUCUCUCUUUCCAGCUCUUCCUGGAGUUCUAGGGCAUUCUGAGUGAAGUGGUCCCUCUCACACUGGAGUGUGUAUGCAAGUGCUUUCUCCUGCUGAAUACACACUCUCAGAUAGGCUUUUAGGGCCUCCACCUCCUUUACACACACACACACACACACACACACACACACUAACUGAUACGAUUAUAAAAUAAUAACUGACAAAUACUUAAUGCACCAAUUUAAACACAACUUUUCUUAUAGGGUUAGUAAGAUCAGGUAGAUGGAGAUCUGAUUGUAAAGUCUAGGUUUUGCCAUUAGUUGUUGUGAAUCUGAAAGAUUACUGUCACUAUUUGUAUCUGUAUUUGGUUUGGUGGAAGUAUCAGCGUGACAUUAUGCAGAUAUGUACAGUGUACUGGGGGCUCUAUAUUAGGGAAGGUGGGUACUUGGUUGAAGGUGGGGACUUGGUUGAAGGUGGGGACUUGGUUAAAGGUGGGUACUUGGUUAAAGGUGGGGACUUGGUUGAAGGUGGGGACUUGGUUGAAGGUGGGGACUUGGUUGAAGGUGGGGACUUGGUUGAAGGUGGGAACUUGGUUAAAGGCCUUUUUGGCCUAAAUGCAAAGUGCUGUGUGUGGCAGAUAUGUAAUCUGCUCAUCACCCUGGAACACCAUCCCCACUGUGAAACAUGGUGGUGGUACCAUCAAGCUGUGGGGAUACUGUUCUUCAGCAGGGACAGGAAAACUGCUCAGAAUUGAUGGGAAGAUAGAUACAUUUAAUGACCCUAAACUUAAAGCCAGAGCUACGGUGGAAUGGAUUAUAUCAAAGAUCAUUCAUGUGUUAGAAAGGACCAGUCAAUAUUCUGACCUAAAUACCAUUGAGCUUUCUUAUAAAAAUUGCUAUUCACAGAAGCUCUCCAUCUAACUUGGCUGAGCUUGAGUUAUUAUGUAAAGUAAAUGGGUAAAAAUCUCGGUCUUUAGAUGUGCAAAGCCUGUAGCUGGUACACUUUUGCACAUCAAUCCUUUUAGAUUUACUUUGUUUUGGUCUAUCAUGUACAUUUAAAUCUCAAUAAAAUACAUUUACACUUUUUCA